rnacentral:rRNA from 1 species
UACGUAGGGGGCGAGCGUUGUCCGGAUUCAUUGGGCGUAAAGAGCUCGUAGGCGGCUUGGCAAGUCGGAUGUGAAAACUCCAGGCUCAACCUGGAGCCGCCAUUCGAUACUGCUAUGGCUAGAGUCCGGUAGGGAGUGUGGAAUUCCCGGUGUAGCGGUGAAAUGCGCAGAUAUCGGGAGGAACACCGAUGGCGAAGGCAGCACUCUGGCCGGUACUGACGCUGAGGAGCGAAAGCGUGGGUAGCAAACAGG